UUGACUAAACAACAAUUGACCAGGCUCGACUUUGGUGAGAAGGUAAGAUGGCGCCUACGGGACACUGCUGACCAGUUCACAGGUCUCAGUCCCUUUUAAACCAAGGUAACCGAGACCACCAUAUCUUGUUUUGUUUUAAAAACAAUUAUUUAUAAAAUGUUUGCAUUCAAGUCUAAACUUUCCAUUACAAAUAUUAAUAACCUUCGUUAAUAAUUAUUUGAUUGGUACUGAUGAUUCUGAGAAGAAAGGCUUACGGUCGAAUACUAAUUAGUCAAGCCAAUAGGUAGGGAGGUCUUCAUAUCAGUGUGUGGGGCUAGUGUGCUGGAAAACCACCAAGGAGGAAGGCUCCAAAACAGAGCACGUUCGCUCAUGACAACCCCUAAAACCUUUUGGCAUUGGUAUGUGGAGGAGCAUUCAACUGACAGUAUUUGUCCAAGCAAACUGUUUCCGCAAGCCUUUAAUCUCUUCUAAAAAGCAGAUUAACUGAUAACUUUUGGAUAUAGUGUUUCUUAAACCUAACAUUGGUCACUAGACAGAAAAAAAAAAAAAAGACAAGAUAGAUGGAUGGAUGGAAGGAAGGAUGGAUAUUGUAUAAAAUUCAGGGUCCAGAAAGGGUUUACAA